rnacentral:rRNA from 1 species
UACGUAGGGGGCUAGCGUUGUCCGGAAUCAUUGGGCGUAAAGAGCGUGUAGGCGGUCCGGUAAGUCCGCUGUGAAAGUCGGGGGCUCAACCCUCGAAUGCCGGUGGAUACUGUCGGGCUAGAGUGCGGAAGAGGCGAGUGGAAUUCCUGGUGUAGCGGUGAAAUGCGCAGAUAUCAGGAGGAACACCGGUGGCGAAGGCGGGUCGCUGGGACGGUACUGACGCUGAGACGCGAAAGCGUGGGGAGCAAACAGG